rnacentral:rRNA from 1 species
CCUACGGGUGGCAGCAGUGAGGAAUAUUGGUCAAUGGACGAGAGUCUGAACCAGCCAAGUAGCGUGAAGGAUGACUGCCCUAUGGGUUGUAAACUUCUUUUAUAUGGGAAUAAAAUUUUCCACGUGUGUUAUUUUGUAUGUACCAUAUGAAUAAGGAUCGGCUAACUCCGUGCCAGCAGCCGCGGUAAUACGGAGGAUCCGAGCGUUAUCCGGAUUUAUUGGGUUUAAAGGGAGCGUAGGUGGAUUGUUAAGUCAGUGGUGAAAGUUUGCGGCUCAACCGUGAAAUUGCCGUUGAAACUGGCAGUCUUGAGUAGAGUAGAGGUGGGCGGAAUGCGUGGUGUAGCGGUGAAAUGCUUAGAUAUCACGCAGAACUCCGAUUGCGAAGGCAGCUCACUAAACUGCAACUGACACUGAGGCUCGAAAGUGUGGGUAUCAAACAGGAUUAGAUACCCGGGUAGUC